GCAUCGAUUGAGAACGCAGCGAAAUGCGAUACUUGGUGUGAAUUGCAGAAUCCCGUGAACCAUCGAGUCUUUGAACGCAAGUUGCGCCCGAGGCCUGCUGGCCGAGGGCACGCCUGCCUGGGUGUCACGC
rnacentral:rRNA from 1 species